CGUGAGUGAGAAGGCCUUUGGGUUGUAAAGCUCUUUCGUCGGGGAAGAAAAUGACUGGACCCGUACAAGAAGGCCCGGCCAACUCCGUGCCAGCAACCGCCGGA
rnacentral:rRNA from 1 species